CUACAGUUCUAUGGUUCUACGGUUCUGUGGUUCUGUGAUCAUUAUGACUCUGGGAGUAACUGAGUUACUGUAAACCUUCUACCUACGUGACACUGCUGCAGAGCUGAAAACCUGACAAAUACAGGUGCACCCACCCAGUUCCAGCUACCUCUGGUCUUGUCCUGGAAAGAGACAAGGAAAAUCAGCUUUCUGAUGUCAGACACAAGUGAUGUUGGAGGAGGAAAAUUUUCAGGCCAGGAGGAUGGCAUGGUUUCACCAGAGGACCAGAAAGAAAUAAAAGCAUGGAGCAGUCCCCUCUGAUCAUGUGUCUGCAUCGUGUUUCAGCUGCCUGCAAACAGUUCAACUGGUGGGUUCAACUUCCAGCGCUCGUGAGCAGAUGGUGCUUAGGUGGAGGAACAUUCCUGUUGUAACAGCCUAUAGGCUUUUCAACAGCUUUCAUGCUGUGUGAUGCAGCGUGGCACGGAGCGGCGCGGGGAGAACGACUACCAAGCUAAAGGCAAGAGCAUAUGUAAAGAAGAAGAAACAGUACAAGAAGAAGCAGAGGUUCAAAUAGUCCUUGGUAUCCCAUGAUUUUUAAAAGUCCUGAAGUCUGAGUCACUACUACACCAUGGCUUACCAGAGGAGCAAAACUGGAAUGUCCAAGAGAUGUCUGCUUUAUGUGACACACUCUUAAAGUAUCUAGCAUCAUAGAACUUCAGCUAGAGACUGAAAAAAGCUGAUGUUUAAAUAGAGUUUAAAGGUUUUGUCUGGUCUCAAGAAUGAACUCCAGAAGUAACCACCAAGGUCUACAUCUUCUGAUGGCAGGUUGUGAGCACCAGACACAACCAGCUCCUGGCUAAGGUGGAGCAGAGUAAUGUCCUCAUGGCCUCAGAGGGCAACUGAAUGGUGGCACAAAUUCUGUACUGGAGGAAUGUGUCUUUACAAUGUAGAAAAUAGAGCUGCUCCAACAAGAGGUGGUUAUUAAUUAUAGCACUUUAAAAGA